rnacentral:pre_miRNA from 1 species
GUGCAUGUGUGUAUAGUUGUGUGUGCAUGUUCAUGUCUAUAUUUGAAUAUACAUAACAUACACACACACACGUAUAAACGCAAGCAC